AGGGUUUGAUCAUGGCUCAGAUUGAACGCUGGCGGCAGGCUUAACACAUGCAAGUCGAGCGGUAACAGGGGGAGCUUGCUCCCCGCUGACGAGCGGCGGACGGGUGAGUAAUGCAUAGGAAACUGCCCAGUAGUGGGGGAUAGCCCGGGGAAACCCGGAUUAAUACCGCAUACGCCCUUUGGGGGAAAGCAGGGGAUCUUCGGACCUUGCGCUAUUGGAUGUGCCUAUGUCGGAUUAGCUAGUUGGUGGGGUAAGAGCCUACCAAGGCGACGAUCCGUAGCUGGUCUGAGAGGAUGAUCAGCCACAUCGGGACUGAGACACGGCCCGAACUCCUACGGGAGGCAGCAGUGGGGAAUAUUGGACAAUGGGGGCAACCCUGAUCCAGCCAUGCCGCGUGUGUGAAGAAGGCUUUCGGGUUGUAAAGCACUUUCAGUGAGGAGGAAAACCUUACGACUAAUACUCGUGAGGCUUGACGUUACUCACAGAAGAAGCACCGGCUAACUCCGUGCCAGCAGCCGCGGUAAUACGGAGGGUGCAAGCGUUAAUCGGAAUUACUGGGCGUAAAGCGCGCGUAGGUGGUUUGAUAAGCGAGAUGUGAAAGCCCCGGGCUCAACCUGGGAACGGCAUUUCGAACUGUCAGGCUAGAGUAUGGUAGAGGAGUGUGGAAUUUCCUGUGUAGCGGUGAAAUGCGUAGAUAUAGGAAGGAACACC
rnacentral:rRNA from 1 species